rnacentral:rRNA from 1 species
UUGUCGAAACCUGCAAAGCAGAAACGACCCGCGAAUAUGUUGUGAAAAUAAAGGGGUUGCAUCCGGCCUUGCCAUGAUGCUUCCCCAUUGGGGGCGUGCAUAAGGGAGCGAUUGGGCUUGUUCCAUCCUUUGUUUUGCACUGUCCUCCAACCUAACAAAACCCGGGCGCAGAAUGCGCCAAGGAACCAAAAACAAAAAGAGAAGGGAAUGAGCGCCAUUGCAUUCCGGGGACGGAAAUCGUGAGGUUGGCUACUUUCCUUAUCUAAAAAUCAAACGACUCUCGGCAACGGAUAUCUUGGCUCUCGCAUCGAUGAAGAACGUAGCGAAAUGCGAUACUUGGUGUGAAUUGCAGAAUCCCGUGAACCAUCGAGUUUUUGAACGCAAGUUGCGCCCGAAGCCUUUGGGCCGAGGGCACGUCUGCCUGGGUGUCAUGUAUUGUCGCCCCAUCCAACUCCUUGCAUGGGACAUUGGACUAGGGGCGGAAAAUGGUCUCCCGUGCGCUCCCGCUCGCGGUUGGCCAAAAUUCUAGUUGUUGGUGAUAGUGCCACGGCAAGCGGUGGUUGAUAAAACCUUCGGAAAAUGUCGUGACCAAGCCAACAAAAGACUAUUUGACCCUAUCCACUCCCAACAGCGACCCCAGGUCAGGCGGGAUUACCCGCUGAG